rnacentral:rRNA from 1 species
GAUGAACGCUGGCGGCGUGCUUAACACAUGCAAGUCGAACGGAAAGGCCCAAGCUUGCUUGGGUACUCGAGUGGCGAACGGGUGAGUAACACGUGGGUGAUCUGCCCUGCACUUCGGGAUAAGCCUGGGAAACUGGGUCUAAUACCGGAUAGGACGAUGGUUUGGAUGCCAUUGUGUAAAGUUUUUUCGGUGUGGGGUGAGGUCGCGGCGUAUCAGCUUGUUGUUGGGGUAUUGGCCUACCAAGGCGUAGACGGGUAGCCGGCCGGAGAGGGUGUACGGCCACACUGGGACUGAGCGACGGGCAGGAGUCCUACGGGAGGCAGCAAUGGGGAAUAUUGCACAAUGCGAGGCAGCGUGAUGCAGGGACGCCGCGUGGGGGAUGAAGGCCUUCGGGUUGUAAACUCCUUUCGCUAGGGACGAAGCGUUUUUGUGACGGUACCUGGAGAAGAAGCACCGGCUAACUACGUG